rnacentral:tRNA from 1 species
GUUCUUUUAGUAUUAACCAGUACGACUGACUUCCAAUCAGUUAGUUCCGGCCUACCCCGGAAAGGAAUA